rnacentral:lncRNA from 1 species
CUAACUUGGGCCUCGCCCCUGAUCUGUUGCUAAUGAGAUGUGGAACACCAUCCACACUCUACUAUUGGUAAGAUACGGGACCUCGCCCACACUCAACUCCCUACCAGGCACAUACGGGUAUCACAUAGACAACAAGUAUAAACAAUCACAUAAACCAUUCCUUGGACACCUGCCCGCUAUCAAUGGACCUCGUCCUAAAUAUCAUACUAGCAUACUGUGCCUAGGGCUAACCCCCGGGUCUUCUACUUAUAACUACAUGGGCCGGCAUUGUGGCCGUAGACCCAUUCACACAAAAGGGAAACUCACCUCGAACUAUUGAACUUGCUAAUAACCUUCUGGAUGCGGACCGACAAUUCCGUGAACCACUGCUCCGCUAGCUCCUCGAGCUACUAAUAUCAAUGCAACACUUAGUCUAACUGACCCCCGACAGUCAACCAAGUCAACUCUGGUCAAAGUCAAAGUCCUGGUCAAAGUCAACCUCCCAGGUCAACCCUACUUGCCGAGUCGGCCUACUGACUCGCCGAUUUCAUAAGUUCAGAGCCUUCCAUUCGCGACUCGACUCGCCGAGUCUACCGAUUUCCGAGUCCUGACCUGUCCAACUCACUGAGUCUCCACUUGACUCACUGAUUCGUGUCUCAACUCGAAGGGUUUCGGGUUUCGCGACUUGACUCGCCAAGUCUAAGAACAGACUCGCCGAGUCCAAGGCAAUCUUCAACAGACUCGCCGAGUUGUUCUUCAAACUCGUCGAGUUCCUACCUAACUUCAUCCGACAUGACGAGUUGUUCAUCCCACUCGUCGAGUUCCUCCUAAUCUUCAUGCUACUCGCCGAGCCCACUCAAAGGACUCGCCGAGUCCAUUCAGAUCUACAUACAUGCAAAGGACUUUUGAGUCAGGCAUGGACUCCAAACCAUGGAUCCAUACUUCCAAAGCUCAAUCACCACGUAAAGUUGCAAACUUUACGUAUAACUAAAUAGAUCUAGGCUCAAAACACACUAGGGUUUGGUUUAAGGACAAAAGGGCUUUACCAACUACUAAUCUUCUGAUGCUUUAUGACAUAUUGGACCGUCCCAACACUAGAUCUGAAGGGGCAACAACAUAUCUAAGCCCCCAAACUCGAAUUGGGUCUCAAUCAACCAUAAAACCCCCAAAUCUCAUAACAAAAUAGAUCUAGAUGCAAAGGAGGGAAAAUGGCAGCUUAUUACCUCCAAGAUGACCACAAACUGAAGUAGAUCUCGGAUCUACACCUCUCCUUUGAAGCAACCUUCUUGAUCUUCAAGUUCUUUUCCAAAAUUUCCUUCCUCCAAAGCUAUUUCUCUCAAAUGAUGGAAGCUCACAUGAAAUCUAGGGUUUACAGGUUCUCUAGGAUGAUAUGGAGGCUGAGGGAGGGACAUAACACCCUUUAUAUAGGAUACAACUCCCGGAAUUAGGGUUUUCCUCGUACAGACCAGACUCGCCGAGUCUCCUUGGCCGACUCGCCGAGUCGGUCACUUACUCCUCGACCCGGAUCCCGCUUGGACUCGCUGAGUUCCUCCUUGGACUCGCCGAGUUGUCCCUUAAACUUAGGGUUUCCUUUCCUUUCUUGGCCUUUCUGACUUUGGGUGUUACAACUCUCCCCCACUUAAACUAAACUGCAUCCUCGAAGUUUGCUAUGGCUCACCGCCUGCGAUCUACUUUCGAUACCCAACUAAUCAUUCCAACACCAGAUGCCUACCUUCGCUGGUCAUCCGUCCGGUCAUUCUGACUAACAUCAAUCCUUGCGGAUAAUAGUCUUGGGUCAACCCUAAACCUGAACAUCCUGGAAACACAACUUACUCAACCGACAAUCCUUCUGGUACUCACCGAGUACUGCACUGAACCUAUAGGGGUUCACCCCUUCUUUCCUUGCGCGAUUUCCUUGCCUUCCCAAGGCGAUGUUCCAUAACCAACUAUUUCGUCUGUCUCUGUGAAGAUCCUAUCUUCACCAAAUCCAUUAUUCCCGCUACUUCCACUGGGCAUUUCUUUCUACUAUACUUUGGUGUCGAGCACCCCACGAUCAACUAACUGAAUCCCACCAUGGAUUGCUUACCCGCGCUGCUACUGAUUGAACAUUUCUGAUAUUCCCUAUCUUUCUUCCGGAUGAACUGAGACCACCUUGGUCCCUACCGUCCUACCAAUAUCUGGAUUACCAGAUCCCACCGGCCGCCAGUCCCAAAACAACUCCUAGUCGCUCCCACCGACUUUUGAAAAAACUUCGACCACCUAUAACUGCUCAAUCUAUUCUGCCAUUCGGGCACUAUAAUCCUGGGAUCCCCGAUCCCCUAUCUUGACACCAAGGUCCCUAUCAAGUCCCACCUGUGCUGCUAAAACUCACGGGCCUCACCCACGGGUCCCACCCGCCUCUAACCUUCUAGUCCCACAAGUCUAACCACUCUCGCUCGGGCCUCGUCCACGGGUCUCACCCAACCAUACUGCUGAGCAACCCUGCUCUCAGGUCUCACCUACACUACUAAUCUCAUACAGGCCUCGCCCACAGGUCUCACCCAACUAUAUCCUGGAGCGGUCUCUCCCAAGGUCUCACCUCUCUAGGGCUAUACAGGCAAAGCUCCCUACCAUUCUCGUCCACUACCCAUUCCUGAUCCCUAUCUGAUCACUAGGAGAUAAGGGCAUCGCCCCAACUUCACUAACGAAUCUACUAUGGAAUGCUACGGCCUACCCGCAGUCUUACAUCACCUUCCAUCACUGACUGCUAGUGAAUGCUACGGCUGCCCCGUAGUCUUAUAUUACUUUCCACCACUGACUUCUAGUGAAUGCUACGGCUGCCCCAUAGUCUUACCACACUUUCCACCACUGACUGCUAGUGAAUGCUACGGCUGCCCUGUAGUCUUACAACACUUUCCAUCACUGACUGCUAAUACGAAAGCACCUCAUGCUAUCAAUUCUCAAGAUCCACCUUCUAGCUCACUCGAUUCCUACAGGCGAUCCUCCAACCUGAAUUCCCAACCACAUACUAACCAUCGCCAAUACACGCACUAGCUGAGGGGGGGGGGUCUCAAACUCCCAACCUUGAACUCCUCGAUCCAUCAAACGAUGUACUACGUCCUUCCCUUCUCAGAGAUUGAGCACUCAUUCUGGAUCUGCGUGCUCCUACCUUUUCACACUCGGAGGAUUCUCCCCCACUUCGAUCCUACUUACCCCUUGCUGCUCAAUACUUAAAAAGAAAUCCCAAUCCUUGCUACCAUUCCAUAAUCAAUCUGCUGAGGAACCCAAGCUUACCAUAGCCAGGGAUCUAACCAAUCCAUCUCCAAAACUAUACUACUCCGAACUAGCGAGACGUACCAAGUCCCUCCCAAGCAUGCUACAGUUACUGCAUCCUAUGAAACCUUCUCCAAUAGAGCACAUCUCCUAACUACCAUUCAUAUAUCCAGGGUAUGCAGAUGGCAUAUAACUCGAUCACAAUCAACCGCUCAAAAAUAAAAUACUCAAACCGAUAAUGAUGCAGAACCAUAGCAAUAUAAUCAUGCACAUAUAAAAGAACUGAAAACGGAAGUCGCAUACCUGAAAUGUCCGGCGCUGCUCGUGUCUCCAAGGUAGUCAUCUGAAAGCCCUGCCUCCUACCGCAGGCGCCUCUGCACGGCCCUGACGGCCGUCUGUGAUCCUCAAAGUUGCAGGGUCAGGUGCCAUCACCCGUCCUGCUGAAAACAAACUGGGGCACUGGGCCUUCUUGUGGCCCCGCUGAUUGUAAUGAAAACAUAUCAAAUCUGAUCCCUGAGUGGUGGUAACAGUACAAUCCCUACUAAAAUGACCAGUCCACAGCACUUGAAGCAGCCAGACUCACCACCGCUACCACUCCUGCACGCGCCCCCGUGCGCCCUGCCACACUUCUCGCACCGGCUGCGGUCCUGAUAAUCCCUCGAUCUCGAAUCCGAUCCCUUGGGCCUUUUACCCGAACCUGCAGCUACCUGUACCCCAUACGACUUCCUCUUCCGGAUAUGUUCCAAAUCAAUUUCCCCUCUCUCUAGCCCGAGAAAUCAUGUCUUCCAACGUCUUACAGUUGGAUCUGCUCACGAACUCCCUGAUAUCAUCCCUCAACAUCUCAUGGUAUCGGGCCUUCUUCAUCUCCUCAUCUGCGACAUACUGCGGUACAAGAAGAGCCAUCUCCCUGAACUUGGCGGUGAUCUCCGCCACAGUCUCAGUGGUCUGCGUCAAAUCCUGAAACUCCUGUGCCAACUGAUGCACCUUAAUAAUUGGCAAAAACUCCGCACUGAACUUGGCCGAGAAAUCGCUCCAAGUCAUCGCGUCCAACGCGACAUCAUCCCCUAAAGCAUGACCAAUCUCCUCCCACCAAUCCCUCACUCUGUCCUUCAUAAGACAGGAAGCGAGUCUGACCUUGUCCCCCUCAGGACACCGGAUCGUACGAAAUGCGUUGGCAACAUCAGCCAACCACCUGCUGCUAGCGAUGGGGUCCCUAGCCCCAUGAUAAUCUGGUUCCCCGCAAGCCCUGAACUCCCGAAAUGCCAAGGUACGCGCUCCACCAAGGCCAUCAUAUCGGUACGAGAGGCUCCCAGCCUCUCAUCCAAAAUCUCCAGUAUACCCUCCUUGAUCGUGCCAAAGAUCACAGGAGACUGGUCUAGAAUACUGCAUGUAACCUCAGCUGAUAUCAACUCCCUCAUUCGCUCCUCGAGCUGCUUGGCUUCUGAACCCGAGCCUGAUCCCUCUACGGUGCCUGAUCUGCCCGAAGGUCUCUCUCUCUCUCAACGUCACCAUGCUGAAAAUAUAAUACAUCUACUAUUAGAAUACUCAUCACUACGGCGAGACCAAACACACACCCUACCAGGUUCCCGGUUUUGUCUCGGCCCUUCCCGAAUUGAGUACGGAUCCUCUGCUUUCAGUAGUACGGGCCCAUACUACCUUCCACAUCUAUCCGUACUUUCCUCAGGAAUUGCUUGGACUCCACCAGGUCCCUUAUCCACUACUACUGCUCCCAGCACCAUCUCAUCCUAGGCUUGCCCUAGGAAAACCUCUGACUCAACUCAAACCAGUCCUCAGCUGCUGAAGGUCUCCUUGUGAUGUCAAUUAGCCAUCAACUGGAUACCAUCACAUGUGACGAGGCUCAGAUAAUCCUUCGAGUAAAAGACUCAUCCCUACAACGGUUGGAAUCAAACGAGAGCUGCGAAAUAGGUCCAAAUCCAGCACUCUGAUAUGAUUCAACCCUGAUCACAUGUGACGUGACGUAUCCACCUAAUGGUUAACUCCCAUCACUCGGAAUCCCAUAUUGCACAAAGCAGGCAACAUUCAGACAAGGGGAAAAUCUAACCACAACAUACACAAGCAAUCAUAUCCACAUAGCAAGAAUCUGAACUAGCAUGCAACACAAACUCAUAUACUCAGGCAUAACCUAAACAGGCUAUCCUACCACUGUCUAAUCAACACUAUCAUGCAGCUCAAAGCACAUAUAACAGGCACAUAAGGCAUCCUCCCUAGAUCCUUAGUCCUAAGCUAGCAUGCUAUUCUACUAACUGAUAAUCAAAUCAUAAACUUGUAUGGGUACUUUGGGGUACUUACUUGAGCUCGGCUGAUUGCAUGCACCACACCCUUUUUCUCUUUUCAAAGUUCUUUUCUUUCUGAAUUCUUUUUGCUUUUCUAAAACUGUUUUCUUUCCCAAGACUCUCUUUUUACAAAACUGUCUUUUCAUUUUGAAAACUUUUUAUCUGACCCCUUAGUUUGAGUUCAGGCACUCCCGAGAGUAUGCCCGAAUCCCUCAAACCAAGGCUCUGAUACCAACUUGUAACGUCCCAAAAUUCAAGACCAAAAAUUUCUUUUAAUAAAACAUUACUUAAAUCAAGAUUAUCAAUUCAAAACAUAAUCAGAGUAUCGAUUUCCAAAACACAUGUUCGUUAUCAGAGUAAAACAUUCCCAGGCUGUCUAAUCUAUGGUGUGUGCCAUGCGAUCACCCCGAGCUCUUCCCUCCGCUACCGGAAGUACCUGAAACCAAAACUGAAAACCGUAAGCACGAAGCUUAGUGAGUUCCCCACCCUACCACAUACCAUGCAUAACCACAUACUGCACAUACUGGGCCACGCCCGCUAUCCUGGGCCUCGCCCCUACCUCGGGCCUCGCCCGCUACAACGGCCCCGCAGCUCCAAGCCCCGCCUGGCUUCGAACCCCGCUCGGAUAUAGAUUUGUUUCAAUUAGGUCUCGCCUGUCACAGGGCCUCUCCUACUAACAUAUAAUAGCACAUAGACAUAUCACAACACAUAAGUUAAACACAUACUAACGGAUCCUGUCCCAAGGCCUCGCCUAUCCUGGGCCUCGCCCUUGUCCUGCUACUGAUGAGUCAUGGAACCCUGUCCAUGCUCCUACUGAUAGUGAGAUACGGGCCCAGCCCACACUCACUCCUUCCCUAACUUGGGCNCUAAUAAGAUGUGGAACACCAUCCACACUCUGCUAUUAGUGAGAUAUGAGACCUCGACCACACUCACCUCCCUACCAGGCACAUACAGGUAUCACACAGACAACAAGUAUAAACCAUCACAUAAACCAUUCCUUGGGCACCCGCCCGCUAACAAUGGACCUUGUCCUGAAUAUCAUACUAGCAUACUGUGCCUAGGGCUAACCCCUGAGUCUUCUACUCAUAACUACAUGGGCCGGCAUUGUGGCCGUAGACCCAUUCACACAAAAGGGAAACUCACCUCGAACUGCUGAACUUGCUGAUAACCUUCUGGAUGUUGACCGACAAUUCCCUGAACCGUUGCUCCGCUACCUCCUCGAGCUACCAAUAUCAAUGCAAC